GUACUGCAGCUUGCAGCAGGAUGUAGCAGAACGGCAACACGCCAAGACCGGGGAAAGAUAGUAGGCCUCAAAUAAUGUGUGACUACCCCCUAAUUUAAGCAUA
rnacentral:rRNA from 1 species